rnacentral:lncRNA from 1 species
ACAAAUUAAAAAGAAAAAGCUAUCAUUUUUCUCUUCUCCUCCACCAAAAAUGGCAGAAAAGAAAGGGGUUUUGAAGCUCUGAAAUAUCAGCCACUUACAUCCCUUGCUAGUAAGUGAUUUUUAAUGUCUUUCUUGAUGAUUUUUACAUUUUUGGAACCCCUAAAGCAUGAGCUUUCAUAUGAGGGGUCUAUUUUGCAAAAUGAUGAAGAGUCUAGGGUUUUGCCAUGAGAUUAAAUGUGUUGUUUGCUGUGUUUUUAUGGAAGAUUAUGAGUCCUAGUUGUCUAAUAAACAACUUUUGUGAAAGAAAUUGCAUGAAAACACCUUAAAAAGGGUUAGAUUGCUAAGUUGUAAAAUGAGUUGUAAAUGUGUGAAAUAGUUGAAAUUAUGAGUUUCUAUAGUUAUGAAAAUGGUUCAUCUAGACUCAAGGAGUAAAGAAAUGUGAUAAAAAUUAUUUUACGAGCCUAGGGGUAAUUUGGUAAUUUUGGAAAAAUAUAGGGGUAAAAUUGUAAAAAUUGCUCAAGUGUGUCAAUGGACUAAUUUGAUCAGUACAUUGUUUUAAUAAGUUGAAUGUGAUAUUUUAGAUGAUGAAAAUCGAGAUUUGGACCUAGAACGAAAAGAAAUCGAUUAAGGGAUAAUUACGUCUUUUUUUACCUUGUGGUAUCGAGGUAAGUUCAUAUGUAAAUGUUGGUAACAUAGUUAUUAUUUUAAAUGCUUUGAUGUUAUUUAAAUGAUAUGAUAAUUAUUAUGAGAUAUUAUACUUGUGAUAAUUGUUUGAUAAUAUGUCAAAUUAUAUGAUAUACUUGAAAAAUGUGAAAUACUACCGAGUAUUGGUAUCGGCAUUCCGUAGAAGAUGGUUGAGACACAUGAUUGGGAAAAAGGUCCCGUUGAACCUUAGGAAUAGAUUAGGAUACAAGUGACAUGUCACUGGAAUAUUUGGGCAUCCGAGCUCGUUGAGUUGAGUCCGAGUUCGUGAGAUGUAACUAGGCAUCCGAGCUCGUUGAGUUGAGUCCGAGUUCACUUAUGGAUGUGAACACCCGAGCUCGUUGAGUUGAGUCCGAGUUCACUUAUGGGCGGGUUACAUGGUAGCUUGGCUACAUAUGUGGCACUUAUGUGCAAACUUUCCAUGUAUCCAAAUUAUAUUCCGAUGUGUUCAAUGGGUAAAAUUCUACUCAAAUGGAGGAAUACUCGAGAUGAAAGGGACGUAUUGAUAAAUGUUGUGAAAUGGAUACUUUGAACAGGUAUGUACUUAACCCUCGGGUUGAAAACUCGGCAUAACAACAUGGUAAGAUGGUAAAUGAAAAUGUGAUAUGAAUGUCUCGGUGAUGAUUAUACAAAUGAUGUUGUAUUAAUUUUGUGAACAAUGAUCAUGAAUGAGUAAUUUAGCCUUGACAGAUUUGAGUUACUGCAGUAGUGUAACUUUGAAAAUACACUAAAAAUAGUGGAAAAUGAGUUAGAGGCAGAAUAAAAUAUGGGAUUAAAGCUUAAUACGUCUAUUUUCACAUGAAAGAAACAGAGGAAGAAAAAUAAUUCCAUAUUGUGUGAUAUUUGAAUUCUUGUGAAACAGGGUCUGAAUGAAUUCGAGAUCCCCUGUUCUGACUUUAUAAAUUCACCAAAAAUUGUACAAAAAUUAUUAAGAGUAAUAAGUUACAUGCAUGGAUUCCUUAUUGAGUCUAUUUUUAGGGGAAAUAAACGGAAUGGUUUUUGGAAUUCUGUACAGGGAGAAAUUCGGUUCGUAGUGCACAGGGGUAGGAGUGGUCAUACCCUGAAACAGGGGAGACUUUAACUAAUAAACUGUACUAAUUGGCCCAACCAAAAAUUCUAGAAAAAAAUUAGUAAAUAGAAAUAUGAGUCUAGUUUCAAGAGAAAUAGACGAGAACAUUAUUCGAGUCUUGUACUAUGAGAUAAUUGAACUUUAGUACAGAAGGGUCGGAACUAUCAGAUAGUGAAUCAGGGGUAACUUUGAGGAAUAAACUGUACUAUUUGGCUUAACUAAAAAUUCUGGAAAUUUUUUGGAAGAAAGGAAAAUAAGUAUAGUUUCAUGGAAAAUUAACGGAACUUAAUUCGGAGUUUCGUAGCUCCAGAUAUAAAUAAUUUAGUGACUAUUGCUCAGAAAGACAGCUUGUAGUGAACUUGAGAAUAUGUUAUAAACAUUGAUAAAACAAGUUAAUGAAUUGCUUAUUGUUUUCAUAUGAACUUACUAAGCGACAGCUUACCCCCCUUCUUUCCCAUAUUUCCUAGGGUUGCCAGGUUAGCUCGGGUUAGAGUUCGUCGGAGAUAUUAUCACACUGUCAAGCUAACGCUAUUGGUGUAGUGAUUUCAAGUACUUUGAGUCUAUGGCAUGUAUAGGAGUUUAAAUAUUAGAGUAUGUGAUAUGGCUUUGACCAUAUAUGUAGGCCUAUUUUGAUUAUGGGAUUGUAAAUUCAUUUUAAUUAUACAUGCAUGUGCUAUGGUAUUACGUGAUGAGUUUAUAAUGAUUAUAGCAUGAAUGUGGUAAAGAUGUGAGAAAAAUCUAUGAUAUCUAUUGCAUGUGAAAUUACCAUGGUCAUGUCAUGUUAGGAAUGUUUAAGUGCCUAAUUUUUCCAUGUUGUAUGCUAUUGUAUAAGUAUGUGUGCAUGUGUUGUGAGGGUGACAAAAUGGCUUGAAAAAUAGCCUUGUAUUUAUCCAGGUUUUUGGACAUGGGUUCGGGACACGGGCGUGUCCCUAGCACACGGAGGUGUGCUCUAUUCCCGCACGGGCAUGUCAAAAAUAUUAGAUUAAAUCAAAACUUGUUACGUGUCAUCAUUUGAUUAGCCCAUCAAUUUAUUUUAAUUGUUAACGUGGUCAAUGACGGAAACCGCUAACGGAG